rnacentral:rRNA from 1 species
GACGAACGCUGGCGGCGUGCUUAACACAUGCAAGUCGAACGGUGAACUCCGCUUGCGGGGGGAUCAGUGGCGAACGGGUGAGUAACACGUGGGCAACCUGCCCUCAGCUCUGGGAUAACUCCAAGAAAUUGGGGCUAAUACCGGAUAUGACCGCUGACCGCAUGGUCUGGUGGUGGAAAGAUUUAUCGGCUGGGGAUGGGCCCGCGGCCUAUCAGCUUGUUGGUGGGGUAGUGGCCUACCAAGGCGACGACGGGUAGCCGGCCUGAGAGGGAGACCGGCCACACUGGGACUGAGACACGGCCCAGGCUCCUACGGGAGGCAGCAGUGGGGAAUAUUGCGCAAUGGGCGAAAGCCUGACGCAGCGACGCCGCGUGGGGGAUGACGGCCUUCGGGUUGUAAACCUCUUUCAGCAGGGACGAAGCGAAAGUGACGGUACCUGCAGAAGAAGCACCGGCCAACUACGUG